rnacentral:rRNA from 1 species
CCUACGGGAGGCAGCAGUGGGGAAUAUUGGGCAAUGGAGGCAACUCUGACCCAGCAACGCCGCGUGAGUGAUGAAGGUCUUCGGAUUGUAAAACUCUUUAAGUGGGGACGAAGAAAGUGACUGUACCCACAGAAUAAGCCUCGGCUAACUACGUGCCAGCAGCCGCGGUAAUACGUAGGAGGCAAGCGUUAUCCGGAAUGACUGGGCGUAAAGGUGGCGUAGGUGGUUUGACAAGUUGGUAGCGUAACUACGGGGCUCAACCUCGGCACUACUACCAAAACUGUUGGACUUGAGUGCAGGAGGGGCAAAUGGAAGUCCUAGUGUAGCGGUGGAAUGCGUAGAUAUUAGGAGGAACACCAGUGGCGAAGGCGAUUUGCUGGACUGUAACUGACACUGAGGCACGAAAGCGUGGGGAGCAAACAGGAUUAGAUACCCUAGUAGUC